GGAGCUUGACUCACUGGUAGAGCUAGCUAUGCAACACUUGCUGGUCUCUCAUCUUUGCUGAACUUCAGUAUGUUAAGAGAGGCACCACGGAGAACUUUUCCUGGGGUUGCUGGUGAGCUGAAUUCCUUCUGCUGACUCCUGCUGUUUCAACUGAGGCCUGGCUGUUCCUGCUAGGUCAUGCCACCACUGCUGCUAUCCCAAUACUACUGAACUGGACUGCUGCGGGUGUAUCUGUGAAGUGUUUACAAGUAGAUCGAGCUGCCACUGCUGACCUGUGAACUGAACUGCUGAUUCUCUGACAACGGGGAUGGAAUUUGCUCCAAAGAACCAUUUCCAGUUUGUGACCUGAAAAGAAGCCUAAGGACGUUUCUACUUUUGCUCAUAAAUGAAGAAAGAGUUGCGGGGCCAAGAAGGAGCCGAUGCCCGGCUUUGCUGUUCCUUUACCUCAGCUGUAAGACCAUCUACACCGCUGCCCAGACCAGGACUGUGAAUCUAACAUUUGGUAAUAAAAAUGUAACCCUACCCCCA
rnacentral:lncRNA from 1 species